GCGCCAGCCGCAUUCACCGCGGAGCGAGCGAUGAGCGCCGGCGGGAAUCUGUGCGUCACCCUGGAAACGGCAGCGGAGACUCGAGCGAGCGCAGCGACAGCCGGACUGAAGACCGAGGAGCAGCCGCCGCAGGACGCGGAGAGCACCGCGCGCUGAUCACGAUGAACGAGGGAUGAAUUUCGCUGUUUAUACUGAGCCGGUGAUGAAGAAGAGCACUGCACAUGUCCGCAGCAAACUCGACUCGCGUGAGGACAGCGUUAGACAGUGAUUCUCCCGCCUGACAGAACUGAUCUGAGGACAGUGAGAAUAUGACGGAUGCCUGAGGAACGCACUGAACAUUUCCGUGAUAACGUUAACGUUAGUUACUGGAGCGGAGAGACCGACGCCUGCGCUCUUUCUUCUCCGAGCACGCUCGUGCUCGCAGGAAGAGCUUUGCCACGUCACGGCAGAGAAGCAUGGAAGCUCCGCCCACUGCCCCUACACAGCCAUUCCGACAACCUAGUUUUCUAAGUCGCCGUCUGAAAGGAUCAAUUAAACGAGCAAAGAGCCAACCCAAACUCGACCGCACAGGAAGCUUUCGC